UACGGAGGGGGCUAGCGUUGUUCGGAAUUACUGGGCGUAAAGCGCACGUAGGCGGCUUUGCAAGUCAGAGGUGAAAGCCCGGGGCUCAACCCCGGAAUUGCCUUUGAGACUGCAUCGCUAGAAUUGUGGAGAGGUAAGUGGAAUUCCGAGUGUAGAGGUGAAAUUCGUAGAUAUUCGGAGGAACACCGGUGGCGAAGGCGGGUCUCUGGGUAGUAACUGACGCUGAGGAACGAAAGCGUGGGUAGCGAACAGG
rnacentral:rRNA from 1 species